ensembl:lncRNA
GAGCAACAGAAAGCAUGUGGCAGUUCCCAAGGCUCCUGGCCGGGUCACCGCACUGCGGUUAGAGACAGAGCUGCCAGGGUCUGGGGCUGUAACAGCUCCAGGGUUAAUGAUCCAAGGCCAGGAACACAAGUCAGGAAGCGCUCCAAGAAGGGGGGACCUGAGGUGAGGCUUAGCUGGGAGGAUUCUUUACUCACAGGAGCCACCUGGGAAGCCCCUCGUUCUCUAGAGCCUCCUCAUUUUUAUGUUCAGUUCCUGACCUCAAAGAUCUUCAAACCAGAUCCCUCCUCAGGGACCGUACCUCGCCAGGCUGAGAACUUCCCGAGGAAAGGGGCUGGAGCUUCGUUCACAUCUCACGUUGAGCAAACCAGGACGGUGCCUCCUAUACUUCCUUGUGUUUGUGCGCAGCUCAAUGGUAAAGAAUCCGCCCUCAAUGUAGGAAACGUGGGUUUGAUCCCUGGGUCAGGAAGAUCCUCUGGAGUCAGAAACGGCAACCCGUUCCAGUGUUCUUGCCUGGAAAAUUGCAUGGACAGAGGAACUGGCGGACUGUAGUCCUGGUGUUCACAAAGAGCUGGACUCGACUUAGCAACUGAACACGCUGUACAAUAAUAACAGUAUCCUGUAAAAUGCAAUGAUGAAUGCACAAAUAUCAUUGUAUUUUUAAGCAUAACUAUGUCUUUUGAGUCUUUAUUUGUCCAUCUUUGAGAUUGUUUUACUUGUCCCAUCUCAAGUCCUCUUCUUUCCACCAGAGUUCUCC